AUGAUUGACUUUCCAUAACAGAAAUUAUAUAUAUAUAGCUUCAAAAUUCCCCACAAAGCAUUAAGUCCAGUAUCAUUCAUUAGAUUACAUUUAAAAAAAGUUAUAAAAAUAAUACAGCAUGAUUUAAAAAAAUUUCCCACUCAGAACAUUCAAUUAACCUGUUUCCUGAAAGUAGCAGUGAGGGCCAGAAAACAGCAUCAUAGAGGGGCCAUAAGACCUUUGAGUUCCUUCUUUCAUCAGUACAAGGAUCUAGCCUCAGCACUGAAUGUAAAGCA
rnacentral:misc_RNA from 1 species